ACGGGAGGCAGCAGUGGGGAAUAUUGCACAAUGGGCGCAAGCCUGAUGCAGCGAUGCCGCGUGAGGGAAGAAGGUUUUCGGAUUGUAAACCUCUGUCCUCAGGGACGAUAAUGACGGUACCUGACUAAGAAGCACCGGCUAAAUACGUGCCAGCAGCCGCGGUAAUACGUAUGGUGCAAGCGUUAUCCGGAUUUACUGGGUGUAAAGGGAGCGCAGACGGCAUGGCAAGCCAGAUGUGAAAGGCAGGGGCUCAACUCCUGGACUGCAUUUGGAACUGUCAAGCUAGAGUAUCGGAGAGGUAAGUGGAAUUCCUAGUGUAGCGGUGAAAUGCGUAGAUAUUAGGAGGAACACCAGUGGCGAAGGCGGCUUACUGGACGAUAACUGACGUUGAGGCUCGAAAGCGUGGGGAGCAAACAGGAUUAGAUACCCUGGUA
rnacentral:rRNA from 1 species